rnacentral:rRNA from 1 species
GACGAACGCUGGCGGCGUGCCUAACACAUGCAAGUCGAACGGAAAGACCCUGAUUUUGUGCGGUGCUCGAGUGCCGAUCGCGUGCGUAACACGUGUGUAUCCUCCCCUUCUUUUUGGGAUAACUUCAGGAAACUGGGGCUACUAUCGGAUAGGAGAUCCUGCAGCGUGGUGGGGAUUGGAAAGUUUCGGCGGUGGGGGAUGGACUCGCGGCUUAUCAGCUUGUUGGUGGGGUAGUGGCUUACCAAGGCUUUGACGGGUAGCCGGCCUGGGAGGGGGACCGGCCUCAAUAGGACUAAGGGACGGCCCAGACGCGUACGUUAGGCAGCGGGGGGAAGUAUGACACAGUGGGCGGAAGUCUGUGGCGACGACGCCGCGUGCGUAAUGACGUCUUUCUGGUUGUGAACCGCUGUCGCCUGUGACGAAGCGGGAGUGACGGUAAUGAGUAAAGAAGCACCGGCUAACUACGUG